rnacentral:rRNA from 1 species
CCUACGGGAGGCAGCAGUGGGGAAUAUUGGACAAUGGGCGAAAGCCUGAUCCAGCCAUGCCGCGUGUGUGAAGAAGGCCUUCGGGUUGUAAAGCACUUUAAGCGGGGAGGAAGUACUUGGGGCUAAUACCCCUGAGUGUUGACGUUACCCGCAGAAUAAGCACCGGCUAACUCUGUGCCAGCAGCCGCGGUAAUACAGAGGGUGCAAGCGUUAAUCGGAAUUACUGGGCGUAAAGCGCGCGUAGGCGGUUUGUUAAGUCGGAUGUGAAAUCCCCGGGCUCAACCUGGGCACGGCAUCCGAUACUGGCUGACUAGAGUGUGGGAGAGGAAGGUAGAAUUCCAGGUGUAGCGGUGAAAUGCGUAGAGAUCUGGAGGAAUACCGAUGGCGAAGGCAGCCUUCUGGCCUAACACUGACGCUGAGGUGCGAAAGCAUGGGGAGCAAACAGGAUUAGAUACCCUGGUAGUCCAUGCCGUAAACGAUGUCAACUAGCCGUUGGGGACCUUGAGUCUUUAGUGGCGCAGCUAACGCGAUAAGUUGACCGCCUGGGGAUACGGCGCAAGGUUAAACNCAAAUGAAUUGACGGCUGAGACGAGCGACGACGACGACGAGGGAGGAGG